AACGAACGCUGGCGGCAGGCCUAACACAUGCAAGUCGAACGUGAAGCCACCUUCGGGUGGUGGAAAGGGGCAGACGGGUGAGUAACACGUGGUAACGUGCCUUUCGGUUCGGGAUAACCCAGGGAAACUUGGGCUAAUACCGGAUAGGCCGUCCGGGGGGAAGAUUAAUUGCCGAAAGAUCGGCCCGCGUCGGAUUAGCUAGUUGGUGGGGUAAAAGCCUACCAAGGCGACGAUCCGUAGCUGGUCUGAGAGGAUGACCAGCCACACUGGGACUGGGACACGGCCCAGACUCCUACGGGAGGCAGCAGUGGGGAAUAUUGGACAAUGGGCGCAAGCCUGAUCCAGCCAUGCCGCGUGGGUGAAGAAGGCCCUAGGGUUGUAAACCCCUUUCAGCGGGGAAGAUAAUGACGGUACCCGCAGAAGAAGCCCCGGCUAACUCCGUACCAGCCGCCGCAGUAA
rnacentral:rRNA from 1 species